UGGAAGGGACUGAGGAGGAAAGGCAGAAACAGAGAAACAUUGAUGUGAGAGAGACACAUCGAUUGAUUGCCUACCACACGCACUCUGACCAGGGGCGGGGAGCAAGCCCAUAACCCAGGUAACUGGCUAAAUUACAUUCCCCAGCCUCCUUAAAGCUAAAUGUUGACAUCUUGGGCAACCUUGCAAGAGAGAUUUUGAAGAUGGUGACAUUUCUAUAAACCAUGGUUACAUUGAGAAGAUCCCCCAACCCUAUACAACCACCUAUUGAACUUUACAUGAGCAAGAAAUCAGUCACCGUGCCCAGGAGUUCAAGUCCUACUUCCCAGCUCUUGUACCACUUCCCAACUCUUGUCUGUUAGGAACAAGAGUAGUCAGAACCAGGGACCUGAUGAAUCCCUGGAGCCAAGAGGGGAGCCAGGCCGCUGAUA